rnacentral:lncRNA from 1 species
UACAAUUGUAGUAUUUUUGUGUGUGUGUGUAGUGAGAUCAUGGAUGAUGGAUGCAACAAGAAUAUAGCCAAUAGAAGAAAAAAAGGCAAAGAGGGAACAAAGAAUCUGACAGAAACAGUGUCUUAUCCUCAUCUCUUCAUUUCUCUCUUUGGGGAAAGCAUCUUCUUACUUGUCGCUUCCCUAUAGCUUCUUCCUUAUUCUCUUUUGCUUUCUC